UACGUAGGGUGCGAGCGUUAAUCGGAAUUACUGGGCGUAAAGCGUGCGCAGGCGGUUUUGUAAGCCAGAUGUGAAAGCCCCGGGCUCAACCUGGGAAUGGCAUUUGGGACUGCAAGGCUUGAGUGCGGCAGAGGAGACUGGAAUUCCUGGUGUAGCAGUGAAAUGCGUAGAUAUCAGGAGGAACACCAGUGGCGAAGGCGGUGGUCUGGGCCGGAACUGACGCUGAGGAGCGAAAGCGUGGGUAGCAAACAGG
rnacentral:rRNA from 1 species